GCUUACGGCCAUACCAGCCUGGGUACGCCCGAUCUCGUCUGAUCUCGGAAGCUAAGCAGGGUCUGGCCUGGUUAGUACUUGGAUGGGAGACCACCUGGGAAUACCAGGUGCUGUAAGCA
rnacentral:rRNA from 1 species